UUUUCGUAACUCAAAGUUAUUUUGCUUCGGCUGAUACAUUCGUUCUAGUUCACUCAUGAGUUCGUCAAAAGUCAUUGAUAUGUGUUCAGCUCUUGAAUGAAACCACUCGAAUGCCCUCUUCGUCAGUUUCAUCCCGAUCAAUGUCUUCGCCGCGUCGUCUACUAGCUCUGAGAGAGGCGGCUCGUUCACCCUCCACGAACAAGAAGUAAUGCUAAAAUAUUUGCUCAAGAAACGCAAAGUCGACAAAGCGAAGGGAUUAGUUGUGUGGCGCAAGAUGAUCGAUGACGGGUUCUUGCCGCAUAGGACCCCGCAGACGCUACACAAUAACUUUAAAAAAUCUAUUCUUCCAAAGAUCGAAAAUUUCGAAAUACUAACUGUCGUCGAGCGACACCUAUUUUUGCAGUUGAGAGAAAACAAAAAACAAUGCAGAUAAAAAUUGAGAAAGUUAAAAAAAAAGAACUCAACUUAUAUACUCUUUCACAUAAAAAGUAUUAUUUUUUCAACUCAUUAUUUUUGUUUUAUCCGUCGGUCAAGUACAUAACGCCGCGUUUUCAUCGCUAUUUUUAUUAAGAGCUCUCUAGUCGAGAUUUUUCCACGAACUCGUGACGAGUAAUUACGUAUGGCAAAUAAAUAAGUUUAGGCUGUGACUUCACGAGUACACGAAGAAAAUUACUUCGUGAUUCUCCUCCUUUUUCUCCUCGAGCUCUUGAUUGAAAUUUAAAAAAAAUCUAAACUUUAAAAAUAACAAAAAAUAUAUUUUUUUUUUCUUUUUUAGUUAUAAGUUUCUCAAUGAUACGUUGAGCUCUGAUUGAAAUUAAAAAAAAAUCGAAGCAUUAAAAACAUGAAAAAAUAUAUUCUUUUUUUUUUCUUUUUUAGUCGUAAGUUUCUCAAUAAAACGUUGAACUCGCAAAAGAGCAAAAAAACGAUUGCGACAGAGUCGUUCAAGACCUUAUUUAAUACACAUCGUGUUGAUCGAGAGAAAGCCCUUGAGAAUGAGAGAGUACAAAAUCAAAACUAUUGUUAAGUGUAUUGUUAUUGGAUUAAAGUUUUGCAAAUUUUGCUCGACAA